rnacentral:lncRNA from 1 species
AAGGAGUCUGCAAAAGUCUCUUCACAUGAAUUCAAAAUUCAAAUCUCUGAAAACUCCUUCACAUCAUCCAAGAAUUCAAAAUUUAAAACCCUCACUCUCUUCACACCAAAAUCAACUCACAUAAUCCCCACUCUCUUCACACCCAUUCACAUCAUAAUCUCAUCUGGGUUUUGAGAUUAAAACAACAUGUACGGAAGAGAUCCGUGGGGCGGGCCGUUGGAGAUCAACAACGCGAAUUCAGCCCCCGAUGACGACCGGAGCCGGAAUCUGAACGAUUUCGAUAAGGCAGGGCUGUCUCUUUGUAAAGAGCCAAGGGAGUUUGGUUUUGUGUAGUUACAGAGGCAGAUACUAAAAAAUGCACGCAUGUUGAAAGUGGGGCAGGGUAGAAGCAUGGUGACUUAUGGUGUUAUGGCUAGAAGCCAAUAACUGUGUCAACAUCAGCCUCCGUAUUUAAACCCAUAAUCAAGACAAUAAUGGGUUAUUUCUGGUCUGAUCAAGAUGCGGCCUUUGACUUGCCUUGAAGGCCUAUCUAAGCGAGGAUAUAAUAGGUUCAGGUGGAACAACAGGGCAGUCUCAAAGGUUAAUCUUUCUUGUUUGGAGGGUGAUAGUUGCUUGGCUUGGAGAAAUCUGCCUCUAGAGGCGCUGGCUAAACAAGGCUUUUGUCCACCUAAUGGUUAACCAUCGCAACGUGCGGGCAUCCCCAUAUAUUAACAUUUGGGGAAAUAUAUGAAGUUUCAUAAUCAAGUUUAUUGUUCUAUUGAAUUUAGGUCUAAGUUUAAACAUAUACAAAAUCAUAUUUAAUACUACUUCCGUCCCAUUAACAAUAUAAAUUAAUUUU